ensembl:misc_RNA
AUGAAGACCUGGAGAUUGACGCUUUCUAUUUAGCCAAAGAUUGGACAGCCUCAGGGUAAGUUUCCGUUCUGUUGCCCUGCCAAUGUGCCUCAUCAUUGACCUGGAGGGGCCAUAUGGAUGGGCAGUCUGGUCACUCUCCGUGGCUCUGUGCGUGCACUGAC